CCUACGGGCGGCAGCAGUGAGGAAUAUUGGUCAAUGGGCGCGAGCCUGAACCAGCCAAGUAGCGUGAAGGAUGACUGCCCUACGGGUUGUAAACUUCUUUUAUAAAGGAAUAAAGGGAGGCACGUGUGCCUUUUUGUAUGUACUUUAUGAAUAAGGAUCGGCUAACUCCGUGCCAGCAGCCGCGGUAAUACGGAGGAUCCGUGCGUGAUCCGGAUUUAAUGGGUGUAAAGGGAACGUAGAUGGGUUGUUAAGUCAGUUGUGAAAGUUUGCGGCUCAACCGUAAAAGUGCAAUUGAUACUGGCAGCCUUGAGUGCAGAUGAGGUAGGCGGAAUUCGUGGUGUAGCGGUGAAAUGCUUAGAUA
rnacentral:rRNA from 1 species